rnacentral:rRNA from 1 species
UACCAGCACCCCGAGUGGUCGGGACGAUUAUUGGGCCUAAAGCAUCCGUAGCCGGUCCUACAAGUCUUCCGUUAAAUCCACCUGCUCAACAGAUGGGCUGCGGAAGACACUAUAGGGCUAGGAGGCGGGAGAGGCAAGCGGUACUCAGUGGGUAGGGGUAAAAUCCUCUGAUCCAUUGAAGACCACCAGUGGCGAAGGCGGCUUGCCAGAACGCGCUCGACGGUGAGGGAUGAAAGCUGGGGGAGCAAACCGG